UACGUAGGGGGCAAGCGUUGUCCGGAAUUAUUGGGCGUAAAGAGCGUGUAGGCGGCCCGGCAAGUCCGCCGUGAAAGUCCAGGGCUCAACCCUGGAAUGCCGGUGGAAACUGUCGGGCUUGAGUUCGGAAGAGGCGAGUGGAAUUCCUGGUGUAGCGGUGAAAUGCGCAGAUAUCAGGAGGAACACCAAUGGCGAAGGCAGCUCGCUGGGACGACACUGACGCUGGAGAACGCGGAAAGCGUGGGGAGCAAACAGG
rnacentral:rRNA from 1 species